rnacentral:rRNA from 1 species
CCUACGGGGGGCUGCAGUGGGGAAUAUUGGACAAUGGGGGCAACCCUGAUCCAGCCAUGCCGCGUGUGUGAAGAAGGCCCUCGGGUUGUAAAGCACUUUCAGUGAGGAAGAACGCCUGGUGGUUAAUACCCAUCAGGAAAGACAUCACUCACAGAAGAAGCACCGGCUAACUCCGUGCCAGCAGCCGCGGUAAUACGGAGGGUGCGAGCGUUAAUCGGAAUUACUGGGCGUAAAGCGCGCGUAGGUGGCUUGAUAAGCCGGUUGUGAAAGCCCCGGGCUCAACCUGGGAACGGCAUCCGGAACUGUCAAGCUAGAGUGAAGGAGAGGAAGGUAGAAUUCCCGGUGUAGCGGUGAAAUGCGUAGAGAUCGGGAGGAAUACCAGUGGCGAAGGCGGCCUUCUGGACUGAAACUGACACUGAGGUGCGAAAGCGUGGGUAGCAAACAGGAUUAGAUACCCGUGUAGUC